CCUAACCAAAUCGACGGAACAGAUUAGAUCACGUGUCCUUGUACAACUAACCUAUCCACCAAACAACAGCAGAAUGAUGUAGGCUACACAGGCGCUUGGAGAGAGACACGCACGCUGGUACGGGAAUGGGUCUGUUCUGACGGGCCAUAUGGAUUGGUGAGAGUUCCAAGUGCCAAGUCUUCUCUGCUCCACACUGCGCUGCCCGGGCGCGACGCGGAGCUCCUAUAGACUGCAGUCUGCUCAGCGCACACUGCAAGUCGGAAAACUGUCAUGACGGAAGAGUGAGAAUGGGAGAAAAGAGGAGAGUGAGCGCUCUUUAUACAUUGUCAGUUAUUAUAUGUGAGUCUGGGAAUGUCCUUGUUGCUGAGACUCACGACUAGCUUAGAGACUCGGAUAGGUAGCUUUGUGUGUUUAACUGUUGCACCCGCUACCCCGCUUACCACAGAAUUGCAUCACGAAGUUUGCUAUUGUUUGUGUGCCAUUCUUGCUCUACCGUUUCAACCAGAAAAGGAGCCACCUGUACCUCAGGUUCCGAACUUGUUUCAGGAGGAAACGUGGACACCUUGACGCAGAGGCCUAGAUGCAGAGAGAAUGCGUCUUUAUAAUCACUGGAUGCCCUCUGUUAACAUAAUAAAACGAAAUAGGCUUUUA